AACGAACGCUGGCGGCGUGGAUUAGGCAUGCAAGUCGAACGCGAAAGAGGGGGUAACUCCUCGAGUAGAGUGGCGAACGGGUGAGUAACACGUGAGAAACCUGCCUUCAGCAGGGGGAUAACACUCCCAACGGGGUGCUAAUACCGCAUGAGACCACGGAUUCGCAUGGAUCUGGGGUCAAAGGUGGCCUCUGCUUGCAAGCUACCGGCUGAAGAUGGUCUCGCGCCCAUUAGCUAGUUGGUGGGGUAAUGGCCUACCAAGGCGACGAUGGGUAGCUGGUCUGAGAGGAUGGUCAGCCACACUGGGACUGAGAUACGGCCCAGACUCCUACGGGAGCAGCAGUCGAGAGGCUUUGGCAA
rnacentral:rRNA from 1 species